rnacentral:lncRNA from 1 species
UGUGGUUCUCACCGUGAGUCAUGGUGGCUCUGCUGUGCCGUCCUCGCUAUCUCGGGGAACCGGAGAUCCCCCUUAAUUCCCUCCAGCUGUGUCUCUACAGGGCUGAGGUCAUCCAUUCUGGCUCAAGAGGAAAGCAGAGAGUUUGUUGUGUCUUUGUUUCAUUCAAAUGGUUUGGACGGUGACUCACUCCAUUUCUUCUCUCUUUUCUUUUUAAACCAGGGCACCGUCUGGGAGUCGUUUUUGAUUAGAAGUUGACCUCAGAAAUAUGCUCACAUCAUUUUGAAAGCAUCUUCCAGCACCACAGAAAUCGACUCAGAUGGAGAAAGGACACUGAGUGGACAGGGGCCAGGAUGGGGCGUGGACGCUCUGCCUCUGCCGGGGACAAGGCCUUCCCACAGACUCCCUGGGGUGUUGCCAGCCUGAGUCAGAGGUAGGAGGCCAGCCCUGUCGAGCCCCCAUACACUUAUGUAUUGACCUGGGGCCAGUGCUGUGGAUGGCAAUGACCAUCAUCAUCACCAUCGUCAUCAUCAACACUAGCUACUAUUAUCAAGUGCUUAUUCCAACCCACAUGGUUUCUAAGGGAGUCACAUGAAGUGACCUCACAUCAUUCUCACAGCAUCCUGCCAGGCAGGUACCAUUGGCGUUUGCCAUCUGAGUAUUAUCACCAUCUGAGGUCCCACUCAGGAGCUGGGCAUGUCGAUAUUGAUGUAAUGCCUACCGUGUUCCAGACACGCUGCGAGGCCCUGGGGAUGCAGCCACAAUCCCAACAGAUCUGAUGCCUGCUCUCAUGGAACUGACUUUGCACUGGGGGGAGGCCAACUCCACGAAAACAGAAACUGGAUGACACAUUGGAGGGAGAGCAGUAAAAGGAGCAAGCAGAGAGCAAGAACAACAGUGUUGCCAUGGGGCGGGUGGGCCCGCUGUAGCCAGGGAGGGCCUCUCCGAAGGUAUAACAGUGCCUUGCUGAAUUCACUCCCACGACCCCUCCAUGCUUGGGUCAGGAUGCAUGAACCUGAAAGCACAUGAAGUCCUCUCUGGGAUCUUCUGCCUUUGGUCCUAACUGUUCUCAGGGGGAAGCGACUCUGAAGGCCAAGAGGUUUGGGCUGGAGGGAAUUUAUGAAGCGACGAAGUCUGUUAUGGGAGACUGCAGCAUGGUGCCUGAUUUUCCUUUGCUUUCCAAAGUGGGUCUUUUCACCAUUAACUUUAAAAACACACACAGAGAAAAAGACCUCAGAGGAAUAAGAAAUCAAAACUUAAACUAUGAGCCAAGGGUCCAUCUUCUUUCUUUUGCACCCUUUUGGUACCAGAAGCUCCAAGGGCAGCCAAGGAAUCUGGCCUGACCUGUACUUUCUCAUGGAAGGUCUGCACUCGGUUCUGGACAAACAAGUCCCCAACAGGAAGUGAAAGCCCACAUCCGUUGUCUUUCUUGAUUUUAUGCAGCACGUGCAAGACACACUCCAGGAGGCUGGUCUCUAAGGGAAGUGUGCGGUUUGCAAGAGUCAACUCCAGAAGAAAACCCCUACUAGAUGCAAGAAGAAUGGGCAUCGCUAACCAGCCCGUUUGCUGAUGUAUGGCCCCUAUACUUUCGUUGGUUUCCUGGUUUCUCUUUGCAGGCAAUUAUUUAACCCUGUGAUGGAACAAAGCAGCCAGGAAGCAGUAGGGUUGGCCGUGGGUUGGGGCUGGAGUCUUAGCAGUCAGCCUGGAGGAGCUGCGGGCUCAUGUCAGCACUCUGGGAGAAAUGAGCAAGCUUUUGGGAGGAGGAAGGCAAAUCCAUCCUCACCCGGGCUGUGAGCAUGCCACUGGGCUCGAGGCGAAUGGGGAGGAAAUCAAAGUGUCAGCUCGUGUUAGGAAACCGCACAUGAUGCUUCCCAGUCCUGGCCGUGCUUUUAAAAAUUAGCCAAAUAAAAAUGGUUGAAG